GGGGAUGAACGGUGUCGACGGGGAUGCACUUUUACAAGAGGUUGGGGCGGAUCUAUCCGUUAACUAGAAAACAUAUAGAUGCAGAUGACGAAUCUGAAGCUAUCCGAGCUUUUUAUGGCCGCCAGGCAUUUCAAUAUGCUUACGCUGCCUAAAUAAGAAACAAGGCUCUUUUUCAGGUUUUCCGCGGUUCAACUUGAUAUAAGAGAUAACCAACCGCAGGUACGGUUUUUAAACAUUCCCGAUUGGUUUAAAAACCCGACAAUGCCUUAAUCGGCUUCUUGUCUGACUUUUGGUUAUUUUGCAAGGCGAGAUAGAGUUUAAAAUAAUCUAACCCUGACUAAACUCUUGUAUCACAGGUGUUUUCUCGGACCCGGGUUCAACUCCCGGCAUCUCCACAA
rnacentral:tmRNA from 2 species